GGGCUGACCUGGAGCUCACAGCAGUCUAUCUACCUGUCUGUGUUCUGAGGGUUGGGUAGCAGCUCACCCAGCUCCUGCCCCCUUCCAUAAACAACCUUAGGCCUCUGAAGGAAAUGCUGUCUGCAGCGGACCCAAGGCUUCUUCCCUGUCUUUCUGAGGCCUAAAUCCACAGCUUCCCCAAUUUCAUCAACUGCUGCUUCUUCUCUUUCCUUUCAUAUUCGGGGAAAGGAAACCACUGUGGGGGCAGGGAGGAGGCCUGGCAUCCCAGUCUUUAUUUUCAGAUCUCACUGGCCACUCGCUUUAUUGGUGAGCCGAGAGGGAUCAGGUGAGGCAGUAUGGGGCAGCUGUUGAGGAGACUUUGGGCUCUCACUCUCGGGGAGGUGAUGGUCAUUCCUGGAACUCCUCCCCCCACACCCAGCCUUUCUCCCCAUGAGCUCAUCACCUCUUCAUCCUAUCCCAGGUACCACGGCCCUUAAGGCAGGGCAGCCUUGAGCUGGAUGUGGCUGCUUGCAACUUGUCUGUGCUGUUUUUUAAAAUUGGGACAGGGUCUCAUGUAGCCCAGGUUGGUCUCCAGCUCACUGUGUAGCCAAGACUGGCUGUGGACUUCCGAUCCUCCUGCCUCCACUUCUGGAGUGCCAGUAUCUGUAUCACAGGGGUGUACCACCACCACCUGUCUUGAAAAUUGCCAUGAAUGACAUAGUUCACAUAGCCAUGGGUGGCCAAGGACACUCCUGGGUACUCUUACUGCAUCUUCCCUUGAAGGACUUUGCUAAAUCCUGUGGAGAAAUAGAAAAAUCCAAUACGGUACAAACUGUAUUUAUAUGUGUCUGUGUGUCAAUGUGGGGUCUGUGACCUCCUAUCCCAGUGUGGGUGCUGUCUGACCUCUUCUGUGCACAUCUGUAUCAAGACUGCUAGAAAGAUAGACAGGGGUGGGGUGUGUCUGUGGGGGUCUGGCCAUGAUCAGGCCUCCUGGGAAUUGCUGAUUCAUCUCUCCCACGCAUAGAAACCUCUUCCUUGAAGAAAUAUGUGAAAGAAAAGGCUGAAGAAGGGGAGAUUUGGGAGGCAAGGAGCCUGUCGGGAGUGUGUCUCCCCUCAUAUAGCUUCCCAGAUGUCCUCCUUGUGCUGGAAACCCAGAUCUGGGCCAAUAAACAGUUCAAUUUCUCUUGC
rnacentral:lncRNA from 1 species